rnacentral:rRNA from 1 species
AACGAACGCUGGCGGCAUGCCUAACACAUGCAAGUCGAACGAGACCUUCGGGUCUAGUGGCGUACGGGUUCGUAACGCGUGGGAACCUGCCCUUAGGUUCGGAAUAACUCCCCGACAGGGGUGCUAAUACCGGAUAAUGUCUUCUGACCAAGGAUUUAUCGCCUUUGGAUGUGCCCGCGUUGGAUUAGCUAGUUGGUAGGGUAAAAGCCUACCAAGGCGACGAUCCAUAGCUGGUCUGAGAGGCUGCUCAGCCACACUGGGAGUGAGACACGGCCCAGACUCCUACGGGAGGCAGCAGUGGGGAAUAGUGGACAAUGGGCGAAAGGCUGAACCAGCAAGGCCGCGUGAGUGAUGAAGGCCUUAGGGUUGUAAAGCUCUUUUAACCGGGAUGAUAAUGACAGUACCGGGAGAAUAAGCUCCGGCUAACUCCGUG